UACGUAGGGGGCCAGCGUUGUCCGGAAUCAUUGGGCGUAAAGCGCGCGUAGGCGGCCAGAUAAGUCCGGUGUGAAAGUCAAAGGCUCAACCUUUGAAUGCCGCUGGAAACUGUCUGGCUUGAGUCCGGGAGGGGCGAGUGGAAUUCCUGGUGUAGCGGUGAAAUGCGUAGAUAUCAGGAGGAACACCUGUGGCGAAAGCGGCUCACUGGACCACAACUGACGCUGAGGCGCGAAAGCUAGGGGAGCAAACAGG
rnacentral:rRNA from 1 species